AACGUGAGUAACCUGCCCCCUUCUUCUGGAUAACCGCAUGAAAGUGUGGCUAAUACGGGAUAUUCUGUGCCUGCUGCAUGGUGGGUGUGGGAAAGAUGCGCCUUUGGGUGUUUUUGGUGGGGGAUGGGCUCGCGGCCUAUCAGCUUGUUGGUGGGGUAGUGGCUUACCAAGGCUUUGACGGGUAGCCGGCCUGAGAGGGUGACCGGCCACAUUGGGACUGAGAUACGGCCCAG
rnacentral:rRNA from 1 species